ensembl:lncRNA novel transcript
GGUUGGGGUAGCCGCGGCCGUGGCCUUCGGGAGCGGGGCGUUGAUGCUGGGGAUGUUCGUGCUGCAGCUCGGCGUCUUGUCCACCUUUUUGUCCGAGCCUGUGGUCAAGGCGCUGACCAGCGGGGCCGCGCUGCACGUGCUCUUGUCCCAGCUGCCGAGCCUCUUGGGGUUGUCCCUCCCGCGCCAGAUCGGCUGCUUCUCUCUCUUCAAGACGCUGGCCUCCUUGCUGACUGCGCUGCCUCGGAGCAGUCCGGCCGAACUGACCAUCUCCGCGCUCAGCCUGGCGCUGCUCGUGCCGGUCAAGGAAUUGAACGUGAGAUUCCGAGACCGGCUACCCACGCCGAUCCCGGGGGAAGUCGUCUUGGUGCUUCUGGCCUCCGUGCUCUGCUUCACCUCUUCUGUGGACACAAGAUACCAAGUCCAGAUAGUGGGGCUGUUGCCUGGAGGGUAAGAGAAUGAAAAGAUGCCAGCUUUCUCUUCUCCCACCUCUCCCACCCAACACUCCCUCUUAUCUCCACCCCCCAUUUUCUCUGCCUUCCUUAUCUCACUGAAGCACCUAACCCCUCCUCACCAUGGA